GACGAACGCUGGCGGCGUGCCUAAUACAUGCAAGUAGAACGCUGAAGACUUUAGCUUGCUAGAGUUGGAAGAGUUGCGAACGGGUGAGUAACGCGUAGGUAACCUGCCUAUUAGCGGGGGAUAACUAUUGGAAACGAUAGCUAAUACCGCAUAAUAGUGUUUAACACAUGUUAGAGACUUGAAAGAUGCAAUUGCAUCACUAGUAGAUGGACCUGCGUUGUAUUAGCUAGUUGGUGGGGUAACGGCCUACCAAGGCGACGAUACAUAGCCGACCUGAGAGGGUGAUCGGCCACACUGGGACUGAGACACGGCCCAG
rnacentral:rRNA from 1 species